UACGGGGGGGGCAAGCGUUGUUCGGAAUUACUGGGCGUAAAGGGUUCGUAGGUGGCCAACUAAGUCAGACGUGAAAUCCCUCAGCUUAACUGGGGAACUGCGUCUGAUACUGAUUGGCUUGAGUGCAGGAGAGGAACGCGGAAUUCCAGGUGUAGCGGUGAAAUGCGUAGAUAUUGGGAGGAACACCAGUGGCGAAGGCGGCUCACUGGACCGGUACUGACGCUGAUGCGCGAAAGCGUGGGGAGCAAACGGG
rnacentral:rRNA from 1 species